rnacentral:pre_miRNA from 7 species
CUUUGGGGUUCCUGGGUGUCAUGCAUAUCUCGGUGGGACCUCCAGAUGAAAGAGCUCUGUGGGGAUACCCCCACGCUAGUCACAAGACAGUGCGCACCCAAAGAAACACGAGAGAAC